rnacentral:rRNA from 1 species
CCUAGGGCGGCUGCAGUGGGGAAUAUUGGACAAUGGGCGAAAGCCUGAUCCAGCCAUGCCGCGUGUGUGAAGAAGGCCUUCGGGUUGUAAAGCACUUUCAGUGGGGAAGAAAGCCUUGGGGCUAAUACCCUCGAGGAAGGACAUCACCCACAGAAGAAGCACCGGCUAACUCCGUGCCAGCAGCCGCGGUAAUACGGAGGGUGCGAGCGUUAAUCGGAAUUACUGGGCGUAAAGCGCGCGUAGGCGGUCUGAUAAGCCGGUUGUGAAAGCCCCGGGCUCAACCUGGGAACGGCAUCCGGAACUGUCAGGCUAGAGUGCAGGAGAGGAAGGUAGAAUUCCCGGUGUAGCGGUGAAAUGCGUAGAGAUCGGGAGGAAUACCAGUGGCGAAGGCGGCCUUCUGGACUGACACUGACGCUGAGGUGCGAAAGCGUGGGUAGCAAACAGGAUUAGAUACCCGUGUAGUC